GCCCUUAGAGUUUGAUCCUGGCUCAGGACGAACGCUGGCGGCGCGCCUAACACAUGCAAGUCGAACGAGAGAUGAGGAGCUUGCUCUUCAAAUCGAGUGGCGAACGGGUGAGUAACGCGUGAGGAACCUGCCUCAAAGAGGGGGACAACAGUUGGAAACGACUGCUAAUACCGCAUAAGCCCACGGCUCGGCAUCGAGCAGAGGGAAAAGGAGCAAUCCGCUUUGAGAUGGCCUCGCGUCCGAUUAGCUAGUUGGUGAGGUAACGGCCCACCAAGGCGACGAUCGGUAGCCGGACUGAGAGGUUGAACGGCCACAUUGGGACUGAGACACGGCCCAGACUCCUACGGGAGGCAGCAGUGGGGAAUAUUGCACAAUGGGGGAAACCCUGAUGCAGCGACGCCGCGUGGAGGAAGAAGGUCUUCGGAUUGUAAACUCCUGUUGUGAGGAAGAUAAAGACGGUACUCAACAAGGAAGCA
rnacentral:rRNA from 1 species